UACAGAGGGUGCGAGCGUUGUCCGGAAUCACUGGGCGUAAAGGGCGCGUAGGCGGCUUGAUAAGCGUGCGGUGAAAGCCCGGGGCUCAACCCCGGGUCGGCCGUGGAUACUGGCGACCUCGAGGGGGGUAGGGGCUUGCGGAACUGUGCGUGGAGCGGCGAAAUGCGUUGAUAUGCACAGGAACUCCGGUGGCGAAGGCGGCGAGCUGGACCCUUUCUGACGCUGAGGCGCGAAAGCCAGGGGAGCGAACGGG
rnacentral:rRNA from 1 species